GCUUUUGCUAUCUGCUGCCUGACCACGCCCACCUCACCUGUUGCCUAUAAAUUGAUUGUGAAGCCUUUGGCUCAUUCUUUGCUCACUCUGCCGGCACUCCAAUGCAACCUGUCACACAGUAACUGCAAUGAAUCCACGUCACUCUGAAUGAUAAAUAAAAUACCACUGGUGCUGCAUUGAA